rnacentral:lncRNA from 1 species
GUGAAUCUGAGCCAAAGUGAAAUGGUGGGUGGCACACAAAGCUCUUUGACAUCUUUUGGUCUUUGAGAGAUUGGAUGGACGUCGAGGCCACCGGUGACGUACCCAAAAGAUUUACACCAUAGGAAAAGGAAUUCAUCUUCCACGCAUGGUUAUCUAUGGUAACAAAAAACCCCGAGGUCUCCAAUCUAUAAGCAAACAUGAAAAAUCACAAUCCAAU